CCUACGGGUGGCAGCAGUGGGGAAUAUUGGACAAUGGGGGGAACCCUGAUCCAGCCAUGCCGCGUGUGUGAAGAAGGCCCUCGGGUUGUAAAGCACUUUCAGUGAGGAAGAACGCCUGGUGGUUAAUACCCAUCAGGAAAGACAUCACUCACAGAAGAAGCACCGGCUAACUCCGUGCCAGCAGCCGCGGUAAUACGGAGGGCGCGAGCGUUAAUCGGAAUUACUGGGCGUAAAGCGCGCGUAGGUGGCUUGAUAAGCCGGUUGUGAAAGCCCCGGGCUCAACCUGGGAACGGCAUCCGGAACUGUCAAGCUAGAGUGCAGGAGAGGAAGGUAGAAUUCCCGGUGUAGCGGUGAAAUGCGUAGAGAUCGGGAGGAAUACCAGUGGCGAAGGCGGCCUUCUGGACUGACACUGACACUGAGGUGCGAAAGCGUGGGUAGCAAACAGGAUUAGAUACCCCGGUAGUC
rnacentral:rRNA from 1 species